UACGGAGGGUGCAAGCGUUAUCCGGAUUUAUUAGGUUUAAAGGGUGCGUAGGUGGGGAUAUAAGUCAGUGGUGAAAUUUUGUAGCUUAACUAUAAAACUGCCAUUGAUACUGUAUUUCUUGAGUGCAGAGGAGGUAUGCGGAAUGUGUAAUGUAGCGGUGAAAUGCAUAGAUAUUACACAGAACCCCGAUUGCGAAGGCAGCAUACUAUACUGUAACUGACACUGAUGCACGAAAGCGUGGGUAGCGAACAGG
rnacentral:rRNA from 1 species